rnacentral:rRNA from 1 species
CAGCCGCCACGGGAAUACGGAGGGGGCUAGCGUUGUUCGGAAUUACUGGGCGUAAAGCGUGCGCAGGCGGUUAUAUAAGACAGAUGUGAAAUCCCCGGGCUCAACCUGGGACCUGCAUUUGUGACUGUAUAGCUAGAGUACGGUAGAGGGGGAUGGAAUUCCGCGUGUAGCAGUGAAAUGCGUAGAUAUGCGGAGGAACACCGAUGGCGAAGGCAAUCCCCUGGACCUGUACUGACGCUCAUGCACGAAAGCGUGGGGAGCAAACAGGAUUAGAGACCCCUGUAGUCCCUGUCUCUUAUAU